GAUGAAGAACGUAGUGAAAUGCGAUACGUAAUGUGAAUUGCAAAUUCAGUGAAUCAUCGAGUCUUUGAACGCACAUUGCGCCCCCUGGUAUUCCGGGGGGCAUGCCUGUCCGAGCGUCAUUGCUGCCCUCAAGCACGGCUUGUGUGUUGGGCCCCGUCCUCCGAUCCCGGGGGACGGGCCCGAAAGGCAGCGGCGGCACCGCGUCCGGUCCUCGAGCGUAUGGGGCUUUGUCACCCGCUCUGUAGGCCCGGCCGGCGCUUGCCGAUCAACCCAAAUUUUUAUCCAGGUUGACCUCGGAUCAGGCAGGGAUACCCGCUGAACUUAAGCAUAUCAAUAAGCGGAGGA
rnacentral:misc_RNA from 1 species